rnacentral:rRNA from 1 species
UACGGGGGGGGCAAGCGUUGUUCGGAAUUACUGGGCGUAAAGGGCUCGUAGGCGGCCAACUAAGUCGGAUGUGAAAUCUCCAGGCUCAACCUGGGAACUGCAUCCGAUACUGGAUGGCUUGAAUCCGGGAGAGGGAUGCAGAAUUCCAGGUGUAGCGGUGAAAUGCGUAGAUAUCUGGAGGAAUACCGGUGGCGAAGGCGGCAUCCUGGACCGGCAUUGACGCUGAGGAGCGAAAGCCAGGGGAGCAAACGGG